UUCUUAGUUUCUUAUUUAAGACUUACUAUGUAUUUUCUUUUAAUGUAAAGGGUCGUCUCCCUAAGAUAUUAUGUCGUGUCUUAAGUUGUCUUGUAACAAUGAGAUUCUUUAAGUAUUUAUGAAAGUUUUCUUUUUGUUUUAAUUGUCGUGAAAAUUUUUAAUUCCGCACUACUUUUCAUGUCUUAUAUAAUGAACAAUAGUUAAAGGGCUUGUACAAGACCCCAAAGGGUCAAGUACGCCUUGUCACGAAUCGAGGGUUCUCCCUAACUUCUAGGGGGUACUUUCGGGUCGUGACAUAGAACAACAUUAGUUGUUUGAAGCACAUCGAUAUGCUUUGUUCAAUAUCGGAGAUGAAAAAGUAGAGACAUUCAUCAGGUAAGAUAAAUAAUCAUUUGUUUUUAAACAUCUUUUGUAUGUUAUGAUAUUGUGCUUUAAAUUCCAUUAAUAAAUAUACAUUGAUUUAAUUGUAUAUCAUGCUUGCAGGGAACAUAAGAAUUUAAUCAAUAAUCAUACCGAAGGAAAUGCAUGGGUAAAAGCACAAAUGCAUAGUAGAGAAUUCUGUGAUUGGUCUAGGGAUAAAGUUAAAAAUAUUUAAGUGCCUAAUCAUUUAAGAUGGCUAUAUAAAGGGACUAAUUUUGUGGCUAAAAGAUAUAUUGGAUAUUUCAUUAAUGGAUAGAUUUUAUACAAAGACACGGGAUGACCCUUGCAAGACUCAAAAUAGUGGAGUUACUUUGUCAGCAACAAUAGAUAGUUUUGCUAGCACUAGGGGACCAAAUUCCUAUCGAUGGAAUGGUUAUCUAUUAUGAAAUUAUCCAGGAUAUCAUUGAGAUUGAUUAUUGGGGUUGCUUUAGUGUUGUACUUUUUACAUAUGAUUGGUUUCAUAACGAAGUCGAUGAAUAUAGAUUGACUCGGUUAUACUUCAAUAAACAAUGUGGUACGAAUGAUCCUUUUGUACUAGCAUCUCAAGUGCAUCAAGCUUAUUAUGUGGAAGACCCAAUAGAGAAAAAUAUAUGUUAUGCAGGAAAUGAAGUCCCAAUAGUUUUGUAUGAUUUGGAGGAAGAGAAUUGUCCUAAUAUUGAAGAAACAUUUCGGGGAGAGACUAACGAUGACAUUGGUUCAUCACAAAGAGUACUGGAUGAUGUUAGAUGGUCGAGAUAAGAUCUCCCUGUUGAUAUAAUUGAUAUGUUUGCCCUUGCACAAUAUUCGGAAGAUUUAACUAUGGAAUCAUCAGAAGAGGAGGAUGACUUUGAUGAUACUGAUUGGGAUUGGAUGGAGGCUGAUGAUUGACAAAGGAUAUUUUCAACUUUUUCAAAUACAUUCUCUUCUUCGUUUUGGUAAUUUUGAUAGUCAUGAGUCAACAAGAGUCUUCAAAAAGAAACAAAAAAGCAAAAAAUAAGACAUAUGCUAAACCUGGAUCAUUAUCAUUCUUGGCAAAUAAAAAACGAAGGUUAUUGACAACAAAUAAAAUUGCUCAACCUAAGGAGUCAGAGAAAAGGAAGCUGCUUAAAUUAAUUGAACAACCAACAGUAGCACCACAAUCUGAAGCUAAUGGACAAUAUGUGGAGAAGCAGCCUCUUGAGUUGCAACCUAUAGAUGAUCAAGUAGAAAUGAACUCUGGAACUCCGACAACUGGUGAACAACCUGAAGAACAAGUUGAAUGUGUUUCCAGUAAAAAUAAAAGAGGUCAAACUCAAAUGCAUGAUGUACAUGCAUGAAAACAGCGUAAACUGAUCAUAUUAAAUAGUCUCAAUCAACCGGUUGGUCCUACUGAAGACGUUAUGACAGAGUUAAGUAGCUUUCUAGGUACAUUGGCAAGAAAUAAGACUCUUUGCCCAUUUGAUAUAUUUGAUUGGAGGAGCAUGGAUACUAAAAAGGAUUUAUGGGAUUAUAGUAAGGUUUGGAGUUUCCAGUAUUUAAUCUGUUAUAAAAGUAUUUUACUUCAAUUGGCGAACUAAAUGACUUCACAUUGUAGGAGAAAUACAUUAUUCCUGAAGCUGCCAAAGAUUGGGCUUUGGUAACAAUUUUAAAUGCUUGGAGAAGGAAUAGAUCUGACUUGAAGAUGAAUUAUUACGAUCCAUAUGACAAUGGUGAAAUUUGAAUGGCAAAAAAGCCUGGUCAUAUUUCAGAAUGUCAGUAUAGAGAGCUCUUUAAAUAUUGGAAGUCUGAGAAAUUCAAGAAAAUGUCUGAAACAAACGCUAAGAAUUGAAAAAAGCUGAUGAAUCACACACAGCAGUCAAAAAGAGUUUUGCUUUAAUCCGCAUAAAUUACAGUAUAGAGAGCUCCUUAAAUAUUGGAAGUCUGAGAAAUUCAAGGAAAAAGAAAAGGAAUUUUUAUCUGCUAAAGAGCUCUUUGUGGUCACAAGAACAAGAAAACCUGAUCGUUCCUACAAGGCAUCGAAUGAGAACACAACUAGUAAAAUUGCUUAAAUGGAGGAACUUGAAAAGCAAAUGAGCACAAAUGGUCAUUCAAUUGAUGCAUUUUCAGCUGUCACGGGUCAUGAACAUCCGGGACGUCUAAGACUAUAUGGAUCGGGGGUUACAGAUACUACUGUGAAAAGAAAGUUGACAAUUCUUAACCAAGUUUAAAUGCAACAAAUGAUGUAGUGCAACAAAUGCAAGAAAGAAUGCAAAAAAUGGAGGAACAAAGGAGAAUUGAUCCUAAAAUACUAGCAGCAUUGUCCGUUCCUUCACCAAGAGAAGCUACUUCUGCUCAAACAGCUACUACUACUUUAUCUUUAUCUUUCUUUUGAAACUCAAUUUCUUCUGAGUUGAGAGGAUUGAUUUUUUCACUGGUAAUCCUUGCAUGGUAGUAAAUACGGGGGGUCGUAAUAUAUAUAGGGUUUUCACUUAGGGAUUGAUUUGUCUCAAUUUGGCUGCAAAGGAUUGGAUAACAGUGAAUGGGGCAGGUUGUGUUAUACCUCGUCUUUUUUGGUAUUAUUUUUGUGAUUCUUGCAAGGUUGAGGUAUUCGAUCAUUGGAAAUAUGGGGUUCUGCACUACAGUUCUGUUUUAGUUGUGUGUAGAGAUGUGUUUUUUGAAAUUAUUUAGCUUCUGGAGAAAUUAGAUAGAGGAACAUAGACAUGAUUUUGUUUUUUUGGCCUGUAUGGUACACUCCAGCAUCUCCUUGGUGUUUUUGUUUGUAUCCUGCAUAAAAUGUUUUCCAAAAGCUCUAGUUUUCUCAUUUGUAAGAUUUAUGAUUGCAUCAUCUGAUUUAGAAAACAUGUUCUUUGUUUUAUGACUUUUCUUGAGACUCACUCAUACUCGUAUGAAGCCUGUUCAUACUAUGUUGUUGGCUCGGAUCUUUUGUCUUUAGGAAAUUGUUUUUCAUUGGAGAGUGUCUCUGUUUCUUUGCUCCAAAUUGUUGUGAGAUGUUCUUCUAGUUUAGGGGAAGAAUCCCUAUGAAUAGGUCGUCACUAUCACUACUCUGUUUAAACUAGUUGAGAAGGUUGAUUUUGUCUUCUGUCUUUCCUCCCAUUUUUCCGAACCAUACUUCUUCCUCUGCUUUUACAGUCUGCUAAUCUGAAUCAGAUUAGCAAGUAGCUUUAGUGUUUUAACAAUUAUCAUGUGAAUGAAGAUUGUUUCUCCUCUCUGUGGACUAUUUUGAUUGCUCUUGCAGCUGAGAUUCCACCCAAUAGUAUACUUACAUUCUUCCAUCAUCAUAACGUAGUAGUUUUUUUAUUUGAAGAUGAUUGUGGAUUGUUUUUCUACAUUUAGAUUCUUCUUACUCUCCAUGUGGCCUUAAUCCUUAUUACUUACGUGUGACCUUAGAUAAAAUUUGACGGAUUCUAUUUUAUAUAUUAAAACCCCAAGUGAUUCACUGUGUAGAAUAAACAAAGAUUGCUGAUAAGCUUGAAAGAAGUUAUAUCCAAUUGAUACUGAAGAAAAGCUAGCAUCAUCUACUUUUUUCUGUUCUGUAACUUUAUUAGCACAAAUUUUUUAAGGUAACUUGUAUUAUGAACAAAGGAAUACUCAUAAAAGUAUUUCAGUAAUACAUGGGAGAGGUACAGACUGAACACAGAAUAAAAUGAUGUCCCUCUAAGGACAUCCCAUGAAAUAGGUAAAAGGAUUAAAUAAGAGAAGGUUAUUUGAGAUCUUGUGAUCAUUUUGUUGCGCUUACCAUCCGGCAUUUUGAAGUCAGUUUAGGAUGAUAGAGACGUAAAGAGACUUGACAAUGACCAAUAGUUUAGGAGCUAUUUCUUCUUCUUUCUUAGAUUUGGAAAGUCUUAGUUGUCUUUUCCCAUGUAAAUUUAUUUUUCUUUCCUUUUCGUGUAAUACUUACUAGUGAUCAGGUACACUAGCUAAAUAUUAAAUCUCCUCUACAAAAGUAGACAAUUCUUCCUUUGUAAAGGACAUCCUUUCUAUUACUCAAAUUCAUCCUUUGGGUUUCGUUCAAAUAGUUGGUAUAGUUUUGUUUGACUUGACAAACAUCUGCAGGGGUUCGUAGUUGCAUAAUAAUGCUAACUCAGAUGCCUGCUUAAAAAGGAAAAGGGUGGAGUUAAUUUUGAUAUCUAAUGAAUAUCUAACCAGAUGUUUGUUUCUCUGUGGACUAUUUUUCUACAUUUAGAAUCUUCUUACUCUCCUUUGACAGCUGUUGAAACUUUUACCAUUUUGAUAAGUGUUCUCUUUCAUAUGCCUUAUUAACAACGAAAUCUUCUAGUUGAUUUGCCUAUCUAAAAAUAUGUGUUGCUCUUAACUGUAGAGUUUUUGUAAUAUGUCGUACUUCUUCUAUUUCCUUUAUAUGUUGUCAUGGCACUUCCUAUUCCCCCCCCCCCCUCUACAUACAUGAUAUGCAUAGUGAAUCUGUCUCCACAACAACCUUUGUGAUGUUGCUAGUUUGACAAUGUUAUAACGCUCUUAGAAUUGCUCAUGUUCUGUACUUGAAUAGAGACUCUAGAUGGUAUAAUUCCCAAAAGUAGUAGCAACUAUCUCUGUAACUAUGCUAUUUUCUUAAUGUCAUUUGAGUAGUAUUGAAUUUAUAUGCAUAUUGUAGAUAUAGAGUGAUAACUUUAAAAUAUGUCACUGAAGUCAUUGAACUUUUGCAACAAAAUUACUAAAUUAUUUUGUAUUUUCAUUAAUUGUACAUAGGUGAUGAUAUAGAAGAAGGAGAUGAAAGCAGUACUAAAGACUUGACAUAGGAGCUGAUUUGAGUUUGACAAUGUACUGAGUCAAUUAUCCAUUCUACAUCAGGAUUACAAUCACUUCUUAUAGUAUUCAUACCUGCUUGUGCAUCAGCCUUGCAACUACCUGUUGGUUUAGGACUCAUCAUUUUCAGUGUUUCAUCCCUACUGUAAUAUCCACCUGGAAAGCUGAACUUCUUCUCAGUGUUAUUCUCUUCCUCAACUGUGAUAUUAUUGGCUUGUGGCUUGAAAA